GAUGAACGCUGGCGGCGCGCCUAACACAUGCAAGUCGAACGGCACCCCUCCUCGGAGGGAAGCGAGUGGCGAACGGCUGAGUAACACGUGGAGAACCUGCCCCCGCCCCCGGGAUAGCCGCCCGAAAGGACGGGGAAUACCGGAUACCCCGGGGUGCCGCAUGGCACCCCGGCUAAAGCCCCGACGGGAGGGGAUGGCUCCGCGGCCCAUCAGGUAGACGGCGGGGUGACGGCCCACCGUGCCGACAACGGGUAGCCGGGUUGAGAGACCGACCGGCCAGAUUGGGACUGAGACACGGCCCAGACUCCUACGGGAGGCAGCAGUGGGGAAUCUUGCGCAAUGGGGGGAACCCUGACGCAGCGACGCCGCGUGCGGGACGGAGGCCUUCGGGUAGUAAACCGCUUUCAGCAGGGAAGAGUCAAGACUGUACCUGCAGAAGAAGCCCCGGCUAACUACGUG
rnacentral:rRNA from 1 species